rnacentral:snRNA from 12 species
AGCUUUGCGCAGUGGCAGUAUCGUAGCCAAUGAGGUUUAUCCGAGGUGUGAUUAUUUCUAAUUGGAAAAAAAAAUCUAUCAUUAUUUAUCAGAAACAUACAACCACCAGAAUCAACCCAAUAUUGUUCUUGGUUUCCAAGUCUGUUUGGUAAAUCUUUUCCAAAUCAUUAAAACCAUAGAA